rnacentral:rRNA from 1 species
GCAACGCUCCUGGGGGAUGCCCCUGAGAGCGACGCCGCGCUGCAGGAUGAAGGUUUUCGGAUCGUAAACUGCUGUCGGCUGGGAAGAAAAAGCUGAUGCCUAACAGGCAUCAGCCUCGACGGUACCGGCAAAGGAAGCCACGGCCAACCCUGUGCCAGCAGCCGCGGUAAUACAGAGGCGGCAAGCGUUGUUCGGAUUUAUUGGGCGUAAAGGGUCCGUAGGCGGUUUGGAAAGUUGGAUGUGAAAGCCCACAGCUCAACUGUGGAAUGGCAUCCAAAACUCCCAGACUCGAGUGUGAAAGGGGUAAAGGGAAUCCCCGGUGUAAGGGUUAAAUCUGCAGAGAUCGGGAAGAACACCAGUCGCGAAGGCGCUUUACUGGUUCACAACUGACGCUGAGGGACGAAA